rnacentral:sRNA from 1 species
GGCCCCAACCACCCAUGCCCCCCUAUGCUCAGCCUCCCUACCCUGGGGCCCCUUACCCACAGCCCCCUUUCCAGCCCUCCCCCUACGGUCAGCCAGGGUACCCCCAUGGCCCCAGCCCCUACCCCCAAGGGGCUACCCACAGGGCCCCUACCCCCAAGGGGGCUACCCACAGGGCCCCUACCCACAAGAGGGCUACCCACAGGGCCCCUACCCCCAAGGGGGCUACCCCCAGGGGCCAUAUCCCCAGAGCCCCUUCCCCCCCAACCCCUAUGGACAGCCACAGGUCUUCCCAGGACAAGACCCUGACUGUGAGUCUCAGGAAGGGAGGGGUGGGGUGGCAGGGAGGGCAGGGGGAGGUGCUUGUGAGUGGCACUGACCCAGCCUGUCUGCUUCUCAGCACCCCAGCAUGGAAACUACCAGGAGGAGGGUCCCCCAUCUUACUAUGACAACCAGGACUUCCCUGCCACCAACUGGGAUGACAAGAGCAUCCGACAGGCCUUCAUCCGCAAGGUGGGUAGGGGCAUCUCUGAGGCGGUGGGGGGUGUGGCUACCAGCGGAUGACUCUGAGCGGCUCCUUCCCCAGGUGUUCCUAGUGCUGACCUUGCAGCUGUCGGUGACCCUGUCCACGGUGUCUGUGUUCACUUUUGUUGCGGAGGUGAAGGGCUUUGU